AGGACUAACGCUGGCGGCGUGCCUAACACAUGCAAGUCGAACGAGGGGUAGCAAUACCCCUAGUGGCAGACGGGUGAGUAACACGUAGUCAACCUACCUCUUAAUGGGGGAUAACUAGCCGAAAGGUUAGCUAAUACCGCAUACGAUCGUCGAGUGGCAUCACACGACGAUGAAAGGAGCAAUCCGUUGAGAGAGGGGACUGCGUCCCAUUAGUUAGUUGGUGGGGUAAUGGCCUACCAAGACUCCGAUGGGUAGCUGGCUUGAGAGAGCGACCAGCCACACUGGAACUGAGACACGGUCCAGACUCCUACGGGAGGCAGCAGUGGGGGAAUAUUGGACAAUGGGCGCAAGCCUGAUCCAGCAAUGCCGCGUGGGUGAAGAAGGUCUUCGGAUUGUAAAUCCCUUUCGGCGGGGACGAUGAUGACGGUACCCGCAGAAGAAGCUCCGGCUAACUUCGUGCCAGCAGCCGC
rnacentral:rRNA from 1 species